UUAUAAUCCGGCGAGGGGAAAGGGGGGAGUUGUCGCUGGCCUUUUACGAGGCAUGUGCACGCUCUCCUUGGAACCUUUGCCUUAUGGGCGCGGGGCGACCCGCGUCUUCAUAUACCUCUUCGUGUAGAAAGUCUUCGAAUGUUUAUAUUAUCAUCGAGCCGCGACUUCUAGGAGACGCGGUUCUUUGAGACAAAAGUUAUUACAACUUUCAGCAAUGGAUCUCUUGGCUCUCGCAUCGAUGAAGAACGCAGCGAAUCGCGAUAUGUAAUGUGAAUUGCAGAUCUACAGUGAAUCAUCGAAUCUUUGAACGCACCUUGCGCUCCUCGGUGUUCCGAGGAGCAUGCCUGUUUGAGCGUCAGUAAAUUCUCAACCCCUCUCGAUUAGCUUCGAAAGGGCGCUUGGAUAGUGGGGGCUGCCGGAGAUCUGGACUUUUCGUCUGGGACUCGGGCUCUCCUGAAAUGAAUGGGCUUGCGGUCGGCUUUCGACUAUGCAUGACAAGGCUUUUGGCGUGAUAAUGAUCGCCGCUCGCCGAAGUGCAUGAAUGAACGGUCCCGUGCCUCUAAUGCGUCGAUGC
rnacentral:rRNA from 1 species